rnacentral:rRNA from 1 species
CGCGGCCUAUCAGCUUGUUGGUGGGGUAGUGGCCUACCAAGGCGGCGACGGGUAGCCGGCCUGAGAGGGUGACCGGCCACAUUGGGACUGAGAUACGGCCCAGACUCCUACGGGAGGCAGCAGUGGGGAAUAUUGCGCAAUGGGCGAAAGCCUGACGCAGCGACGCCGCGUGGGGGAUGAAGGCCUUCGGGUUGUAAACCCCUUUCAGGAGGGAUGAAAUUGACAGUACCUCCAAAAGAAGCCCCGGCCAACUACGUGCCAGCAGCCGCGGUAAGACGUAGGGGGCGAGCGUUGUCCGGAAUCAUUGGGCGUAAAGGGCUCGUAGGCGGCUCGGUAAGUCGAUCGUGAAAUCCCGGAGCUCAACUCCGGAACUGCGGUCGAUACUGCCGUGGCUAGAGUCAGGUAGAGGAGAGUAGAAUUCCCGGUGUAGCGGUGGAAUGCGCAGAUAUCGGGAGGAAUACCAUUUAGCGAAGGCGGCUCUCUGGGCCUGUACUGACGCUGAGGAGCGAAAGCGUGGGUAGCAAACAGGAUUAGAUACCCUGGUAGUCCACGCCGUAAACGUUGGGCACUGGGCGUGGUGGCCUGACCAAGGGCUGCUGUGCCGACGCUAACGCAUUAAGUGCCCCGCCUGGGGAGUACGG